UACAGGGGGUGCAAACGUUGCUCGGAAUUAUUGGGCGUAAAGCGCGCGUAGGCGGCCGCUUAAGUCGGAUGUGAAAGCCCCUGGCUCAACUGGGGAAGUGCACCCGAAACUGAGUGGCUUGAGUACUAAAGAGGGUCGCGGAAUUCCCGGUGUAGAGGUGAAAUUCGUAGAUAUCGGGAGGAACACCGGUGGCGAAGGCGGCGACCUGGGUAGAUACUGACGCUGAGGCACGAAAGCUAGGGUAGCGAACGGG
rnacentral:rRNA from 1 species